rnacentral:rRNA from 1 species
GACGAACGCUGGCGGCGUGCCUAACACAUGCAAGUCGAACGGAGAUGUAAUUUCGGUUAUAUCUUAGUGGCGAACGGGUGAGUAACGCGUGAGCAACCUGACUCUUAGAGGGGGAUAACACCCGGAAACGAGUGCUAAUACCGCAUAAGACCACGACAUGGCAUCAUGACGAGGUCAAAGGAGCAAUCCGCUGAGAGAGGGGCUCGCGUCCCAUUAGAUAGAUGGCGGGGUAACGGCCCACCAUGUCAACGAUGGGUAGCCGAGCUGAGAGGCUGAUCGGCCACACUGGAACUGAGACACGGUCCAGACUCCUACGGGAGGCAGCAGUGGGGAAUAUUGGGCAAUGGGCGCAAGCCUGACCCAGCAACGCCGCGUGAGGGAAGAAGGCUUUUCGGACUGUAAAGCUCUGUCGAGCGGGAAGAAGUGUACCAUGGCUAAUAUCCAUGAUAUUUGACGGUACCGCUAGAGGAAGCACCGGCUAACUCCGUCG